rnacentral:rRNA from 1 species
AGUGAACGCUGGCGGUAGGCCUAACACAUGCAAGUCGAACGGCAGCACAGUAAGAGCUUGCUCUUACGGGUGGCGAGUGGCGGACGGGUGAGGAAUACAUCGGAAUCUACUUUUUCGUGGGGGAUAACGUAGGGAAACUUACGCUAAUACCGCAUACGACCUACGGGUGAAAGCAGGGGAUCUUCGGACCUUGCGCGAUUGAAUGAGCCGAUGUCGGAUUAGCUAGUUGGCGGGGUAAAGGCCCACCAAGGCGACGAUCCGUAGCUGGUCUGAGAGGAUGAUCAGCCACACUGGAACGGAGACACGGUCCAGAGUCCUACGGGAGGCAGCAGUGGGGAAUAUUGGGCAAUGGGCGCAAGCCUGAUCCAGCCAUACCGCGUGGGUGAAGAAGGCCUUCGGGUUGCAAAGCCCUUUUGUUGGGAAAGAAAAGCAGCAGGUUAAUACCCCGCUGUUCUGACGGUACCCAAAGAAUAAGCACCGGCUAACUUCGUG